rfam:Trichobilharzia regenti genome assembly, scaffold: TRE_scaffold0059157
GUACUGAUGAAGAGUCCCAAACUAGGACGAAACAGCUGCCCAGUAC